GUAGUUCUAUGGGAUAGAACCAAUUCGGCCACAGAAAACCCCAUCAGAUGCCCCACUUGGCCUAACAAGUCCAAAAGGACACUGCUUCCUUCACAAGCACACACACUCACCUCCAACCCUGCCCCAGUGAUUCGGGUGUGUCGGAAUUACUCGAAGAGAGACCCCAACCAAGAGAUCUGCUCCAGUCCUCCACUAAUCCAGUGAUCCCUUUAUCAGCCUUAGAACCUGCAGGUGCUGGUUCACACCAGGUGGGCCCUUUAGCCUGGACAGCCAAGCAUAGCUUUUGCUUCCAACUGAAAUGAAAUCUGCCAUUUUGCUCUUUGGAACAAAGCAGUGGAUGUAACGGAGUCAACUGCAGGCCACAAAAAUGGAAAAAUGUGCAGCUAUGUUCUUAGACUCCUGCUCUCAAUCCCCUGCAAAAAGAUUCAACAGCAACGGUCAGUCUGGAGCUCUUUGUUGAUCUAGAUGGCUUCCUCCAAGACAAUCUUCUUGUCUACUGAGAUCCUUGGCAAAAAUAAUCACAAACUAUCCCAUGACAGCUCUCACACGAUUUUAACCAUUGUGAAUUUCUAGUCUGAUCCACUAGGUCACAAAAUAAAUCCAAUGGCUGAUAAAUUCCUGGCCCCAUGUCUAAUUUGAUCCCGU